AAAAAGUCGAAUAAAUAUAAAAAAUAAUAUUUGCCAGACGACUCCUUUUUGCGAUUACGAGGCGCCGGCCGUGUGGCCAGCGUUUUUGGGUUUCGUCGGGCUGUGGGAUCGGGUGAAAUUAUGGCAUAAGUUACUUAGGAGUAAAGCUGGUUUCCUCCUCCUGCUCCUGCUUCUGCUCCCCGGAACUCCCACACCAUUCACAGCCAGCCACCCACUUUCCAGCCCCCCGACGGCGUCAACUUGGCUACACUUUACUUUUAUGUGGCGCGCUCGGAAUGUACUCGCUGGCGAAAUAAAGAUACAGAUACAGAGAUACGCAGAGAGUGCCCAGAUACAAGCACAUUUGUAGCGAUAAGCGUCAUAAAGUUAUCCUUAAGGAAGUUUGCCAAACGCCUCACCAAGGGUAUUAAAAGUCAAGAAGGAAACGCAACGCAGCCACAAGUUGAAGGCAUCUUUGGACUUGGAGGGGCGGACACAAAUAAAACUAUGACAAGGACGUAACUUUUAGCACUCCCAUCAGACAUUCCCCACUGGAUCGGGCUUCUGGGUUGUGGGGUCCAGCAGCAAGUCAAUUACGCACUGCCAGCCAAGUUUCGCGCUUUGUUUCUCCCGGAUUUGUCAGUUUAAUGAAUGCUUUCCCAGCGAAUCGACGUAUCUGCUAAAUGGCGAAGGGGAAUCCGUGAUAUUUAUUCGCCCUGACUGACCGAAGCAUGAUAAGUCCAAGCAGCUGUCUUCCUUUAAACUUGGUAUGGGGCCAAAUAGUUAUGCCAUUAAUAGCAGACCCCUUCCGUGAACUGAGAGUCAAAUCCAAUUAGUGGAGUUGAGUUAAUUAUUUAAAACUAUUGUGGUUUGGGAAGGAAUGGUUUUCGCCCAGUAGUAUUAAAAAAGCUUUAUAUUUUA